CGAGAGAGUGUUUCGGAACCUGCUCCCUCAAACGAAAUUUCGGAGACAGAGGAGAAAUCACACAAACUGAGACCAAACAGUGAUUUUCAUGGCCAAAAAAUGCUCAGGGGAAACAGGAAUGGUAUUGAACCAAUGCUAUUGCUUCGUAAUCCAAAAUCAGAUGGUUGCCAAUAUGCUGCAACUCCAGUUGAUCCUGAUUUUAUUUUUCUGCCCAUUUUUUAGGAAGCUAGAAUGAAGCAAUAUUCCUUUGAAAUCAAUGCAAAUGGAGAUGAUCCAAGGAAGUUCAGGCAAUCAAAUGAGAUAUUCUUCAUUAGCAACUAUCCUGGAUAUCAACUUUUAUUGUCUAUCCCAAAGAAUUCUAGUCAAAAUAUUAAGUUCCUUUAAGAAUGAAGGAUUUAAUGAUAUGGAAAGAUAAUUGAAUUUUGUUUUGAUA